ACUCCUACGGGAGGCAGCAGUGGGGAAUAUUGCACAAUGGGCGCAAGCCUGAUGCAGCCAUGCCGCGUGUAUGAAGAAGGCCUUCGGGUUGUAAAGUACUUUCAGCAGUGAGGAAGGUGGAUAUGUUAAUAGCAUAUUCAUUUGACGUUAGCUGCAGAAGAAGCACCGGCUAACUCCGUGCCAGCAGCCGCGGUAAUACGGAGGAUCCAAGCGUUAUCCGGAAUCAUUGGGUUUAAAGGGUCCGUAGGUGGAUAAUUAAGUCAGAGGUGAAAUCCUGCAGCUCAACUGUAGAAUUGCCUUUUGAUACUGGUUAUCUUGAGUCAUUAUGAAGUGGUUAGAAUAUGUAGUGUAGCGGUGAAAUGCAUAGAUAUUACAUAGAAUACCAAUUGCGAAGGCAGAUCACUAAUAAUGUACUGACACUGAUGGACGAAAGCGUGGGGAGCGAACAGGAUUAGAUA
rnacentral:rRNA from 1 species